rnacentral:rRNA from 1 species
CCUACGGGUGGCAGCAGUGAGGAAUAUUGGUCAAUGGCCGAGAGGCUGAACCAGCCAAGUCGCGUGAGGGAAGAAUGUCCUAUGGAUUGUAAACCUCUUUUGUCAGGGAGCAAAGUCACCCACGUGUGGGUGUUGGAGAGUACCUGAAGAAAAAGCAUCGGCUAACUCCGUGCCAGCAGCCGCGGUAAUACGGAGGGUGCGAGCGUUAUCCGGAUUUAUUGGGGUUAAAGGGUGCGUAGGCGGGUUAUCAAGUCAGCGGUUAAAUCGUGGAGCUCAACUCCAGCCAGGCGGUGAAAACGGGUGUUCUUGAGUGCGCGAGAAGCAUGCGGAAUGCGUCGUGUAGCGGUGAAAUGCAUAGAUAUGACGCAGAACUCCGAUUGCGAAGGCAGCAUGCCGGCGCCCGACUGACGCUGAUGUACGAAAGCGUGGGUAUCGAACAGGAUUAGAUACCCGGGUAGUC